UUUUUCCCCGUUUUUCGGUUUACUCCUGUGGUUUGACUUUUUUGUGUGUGUGUGGGUUUUUUUUGUUGUUGUUUUUCCCCAAAUAUAUGCAGCGGAGCUGACUUUCAUGGGCUUUUUCAGUGUCCCCCCCUAGAACCCAAGAGCAUUUGCAGCGUUCACAGUAGGCUCUGGCAAGGAUUUUCAUUGAUCUGCCACCCUGCCUGUGAAGAACCUCCACCUUUUAUUUUUGGUUUCAAUACAAACUUAUUUAACCCCUCAGCUCCGGCGAUGGAGAUGAGGAACAGCUCCUGGCCCUUUCUUCGACCUGCUCAUGGGUUUGCAGACCUCCACUGCAAUCCUUUUACAUCAUUCCUUCUCCCGGCUGAAGAGCUGCGGGUUGCUCAUGAGGGCCUCUCUCCAUACAUCGUUCUGUACCUCUUACCCUUGAUGCCGUCUUGAACAUCAUCCUGAUCUAGCAGAUCCUUUUUGAGAUUAAGAAAUACACAAUAUUUAAGAUGUAGGCAAACCAUGCAUUUGUACUGUGCACAAUGAUUCUUUUCUCUUAAUAUUUUAUGAGGAAUUUUUGAGGACAGAGAUGAUGUUUCCGUGGAACUGCCUGUCAUAACCCCAAGAGUUUACUCUUGCAAUGCCCAGCUCAGAGUCCACCAUUUUACAAGAUUGUUUCUCUGUGUGCGUAAUUUCACAUUUACCUACACUGCAUUUCUUAUAUUGCCCAGACAGCCUUAUAAUGUCCCUGCAUAGUUCUUCAUGGUCUUUCUUCUUAGUGACUUGAGUAAAUCAAUACCACUGGUGAAUUUUGCUAUUUCACUCCAUUCCCAGGUAAGAUAUGAGUACACUGAACAUCACACAUCCCAGCACUGACCUUUAGAGAACCCCAUACCAUCCACCACCUCCCUCCAUUGUGAAAACUUGUCAUUUAUUCCUGUAUUUUGCAUUUUAUCUUCUAAGCAAUUACUGAGCUAUACCAGGGCUUUCCCGCUUGUUAUCGCUGCUUAGUCUCCUUAAAAGCCUUUGUCAAGAGCCUUUUAGAAAUCCAGUCAGAUAUGGGAAUUAGAUCACCCUUAUCCACAUUUUUGAUGACCCUUUCAGAGACCUCCAAGAGGUUUGUUUAAGGCAGGUCUUUACAGAAGCAAUGUUGACUCUUCUCAGAUAGAUUGCAUUAAUCCUAGUGUCCUUUAGUUCUGACCCAAUUAGCAUCUCUGUAUAUGCACAGUACAAGCACAAGUUUGCAGACCUCUAGUUCUCCAGACCCUGCAUUGAAGUUUAGUGUCACAUUUGCCACCCUCCCCUCUUCAGGUGACAAUGUUUUAAAUGGGAGAUUACACGCUGCUGUUGAUAAUUCAGUGGCUGCAUCCUCCAGUGAGGACUGAAGGACGCAGAUGCUCACACACAGGCACAUUGCUACCUGAAUGCCAUGAUAGUGAAAAAGGCUUAUAGUAAAAACUAAAGGUAUAAGGACAUAGGUGCAUACAUAAAUGACUGCAGACUUGUAAGCUGGUGCUAUUAAUGUAAGUAAGAAGCUAUCCUACUAAUUAACUAUAUGUGGCCAUGACUCUCAUUGCAAAUAUAUGUGCCUGAAAGCACAUAAGAGUGUGGUACAGAAAAAAACCCACCAAGGUCUUUGACCCAGGGAACUGUUUGCCAUUCUCUUUAUCUGCAGCCAUCUGUUUUCUUUCUUUCAUUGUUUGCUGUACAUCCUUUUGAUCAAGGAUGGCCUUUUUAAUGCAUGUUUUUCACUUGCCACUGGCAUCUGGCAUGGGAAGGAGGAAGGAAGACAGCUCUGAGCAGGGGAAUCGGUGCAGCUAUGCAGGGCAUGUGCUAGAACCGCAGUGCAGCUCCAUUUUGGCUCUUUGCGGGAGGGAGCAAAGGAAAGCUGCACCUCCGACACCUGACUGAAGCAACUGUGCAUGGACCUGCAUCGCUGCUCACACCCACCAGCCUGCCCCGUGGGUGUAAGCGCCCAUACUCCCACAGGCAGGCUUACUUUAUGUGACCUGUGAACUGAAAAGGGCUAUGUCACCACUGGUAUUACCUCAUUCCUCUGCCAAUGAGUGACCAACGUACAUCGCAAGGCUGUGCUGAACAUGUAGGAAGAACCAACAAAAACAGAUCCUGUGAUCAGUGUGAUAUCCUUGGGAAAGCUCGAGGAAGUGUGACAGCGUAUCUGAAACUCUGCUUGUAGGGUGAUGCAAAACUGAGGAUGUUUUUCUAUAUACAUAGCCUGUGGACAGGACAACUAGGGCCACUGAAGCCAGUGGGAACUGCAGAUACUCAGCACCUCCGGCAACUGGGCCACAUGCUUAUGUGAGACCUUGUUAUUAUACAAAAAGGCUCUUAUUUCUACUCUUUUUUCCCUGCCACAUAAGCUGACCUAGUUUACAAUCUGCCUCUGUACAGAUGUGUCCUCUUCCAUGGGCAGAAAGAGGACAGAGCCAUUGCCAACAAAGAGAGCCUGGAGUUAGGAAAGGGAAGAGAUACAGGGCUGCUCAGGAUGGGGAGAUAAAGAAAAGGAAAUGAAAGACAAAGAUGUUUGUAGGAGAGGAGAGAGAAAAGAGAAGCCAUACGUGUAACUGAUGCUCCUGCUUUAUCCAGGAGCCAGAGAGUUACUCAGAGUCUUUGCUUUGGGACUUCGUCACUAUAUUGGAGCCCAGUUUCAGUAAAGCAGAUUUUUUUAUUGUUAUACAGCACACCUUCGAAUGGAGAGCAAUUCAAAGGGGAUACCUGUUCCUAUUAGGAAGAAACUCUUUCAGGCUGCUGUUUUAUAGCCCAGCACACUGUUCUUGUUCUUGAUGAACUCCCAGAGAGGCUGAAAGCAGUACAGAAUACAGAAAGGAAGGAAAAUACUAUUACAAUGAUGCUGGAUAUGCUAGGGAUUUUUAUAACAUUUAUAAAAUGAAAUGCAGUCUGAAAGGUGCUGCCUGAUCUGGUAUGCUCCACACUGAAUUUCUCUUGAGUAUGAAAAAUGAGUUUUGCUUGGGAUGCAGCUUUUUAAGUGUCUUAGAUUAGCUGUCAGAAAUUUUGUGAUUAAAUUUGUUUUCCUUUC